GACAGAGGGUGCAAACGUUGUUCGGAAUUACUGGGCGUAAAGGGUAGGUAGGUGGUCUUAUUUGUCUGGGGUGAAAGCCUUGGGCUUAACUCAAGAAGUGCCCCAGAAACGGUAAGACUCGAGUCCUGGAGAGGGUCGUGGAAUUCCCGGUGUAGCGGUGAAAUGCGUAGAGAUCGGGAGGAACACCAGAGGCGAAAGCGGCGACCUGGACAGGCACUGACACUCAACUACGAAAGCGUGGGGAGCAAACAGG
rnacentral:rRNA from 1 species